GACAAAAAUGAACACAUCAGCAAGAGAUUGUUUUCAACUUUCAUUGUCGAAGUAAAAUUGAACCCAGAAAAUUGUCCGCCUCUCAACAUUUCUAUCAAAAUCUCUGUCAGUGUCCCCAUUCCAAAUCAGUCCAAUUCUAUCAGAACUUCGCCGUAGAUUGCCACUCCACAGGAAGUCACACUGUCUGGGCCCCCUCCAGAGGACAUGUUUGACAUCAAAAGAGGAACUGUUAUCUCAACUAUCUGUGUUCCAUCAAAGCUCAGACCGAAGACAAUAGGGAGUAGUGGUGAUCUGGUCUCAACUCACCACUCUCAACUUUUUCCGGAAUUUGCAUGGAGACCGAACUCCCCCCUUUUCAUUAUCAUAUUGUCUCUAUAUAUUCUCAUGACUGUGUUUUUUCUCUGCUUCCUGAUGAAAUCUGAGACUCUCAGGAGCCCGAAUCGAUUCCUAUUGUGUUGUGAUAAAGUGCAGAAAAGACGA